ACUAACCCUUGGGGGAGGCCAUUGUGCCUGAGAGUUUCUCGUUUUGCGGGAGAGACCCCUUGAACCUGAUACGGACAAUUCCGGCGUAGGGAUUAGGGAUUAAAGCUUCA
rnacentral:ncRNA from 1 species